rnacentral:rRNA from 1 species
GGUGAAAUUCCAAUCGAACCCGGAGAUAGCUGGUUCUCCCCGAAAUAGCUUUAGGGCUAGCGUCGAGAGAAGAGUUGCGUGAAGGUAGAGCACUGAAUAUGUGAUGGCCCCAUCUCGGGGUACUGAGCAUAAUCAAACUGCGAAUGUCACGCCAACAUGCUCGGCAGUCAGACAGCGGGUGAUAAGGUCCGUUGUCAAGAGGGAAACAGCCCAGACCAUCAGCUAAGGUCCCAAAAUGUAUGCUAAGUGGAAAAGGAUGUGGAGAUGUACAGACAACUAGGAGGUUGGCUCAGAAGCAGCCAUCCUUUAAAGAGUGCGUAACAGCUCACUAGUCGAAUGACUCUGCGCCGAUAAUUUACCGGGGCUAAGCAUACUACCGAAGCUAUGGAUCCCAAGGGAUGGUAGGGGAGCGUUCCAUGAACGGAGAAGUACGACCGAAAGGACGUGUGGAGAUCAUGGAAGAGAGAAUGCCGGUGUGAGUAGCGGAACGUGGGUGAGAAUCCCACGCACCGAAAACCCAAGGUUUCCAGAGGAAGGUUCGUCCGCUCUGGGUAAGUCGGGACCUAAGGCGAGGCCGAAAGGCGUAGUCGAUGGACAACAGGUAGAGAUUCCUGUACCCGUAUAUAUGUGAAGGAAUGACGGAGAGAGGAAGCUGCAGCCAGCGGCUGGAAGAGCUGGUGCAAGCGAGAUAUCGGGAUGGCAGGCAAAUCCACCAUCCGAAACGAGAAGGCGUGAAGCGUACGGAAAGCUACGGCGAGUACGGAAGGCAGUGGAGGAACUUCCAAGAAAAGUUUCUAACGUUAAGUAUAUAUGGCCCGUACCGAAAAUGGACACACAUGGGUGAGGAGAGAAUCCUAAGGUGAGCGAGAGAACUAUAGCUAAGGAACUCUGCAAAAUGACUCCGUAACUUAGGGAGAAGGAGUGCUCAUAGAGAUAUGAGCCGCAGUGAAACGGCCCAAGCGACUGUUUACCAAAAACACAGCUCUCUGCUAAGCCGCAAGGCGAAGUAUAGGGGGUGACGCCUGCCCGGUGCUGGAAGGUUAAGGGGAGGGGUUAACGCAAGUGAAGCCCUGAACUGAAGCCCCAGUAAACGGCGGCCGUAACUAUAACGGUCCUAAGGUAGCGAAAUUCCUUGUCAGGUAAGUUCUGACCCGCACGAAAGGCGUAACGAUUUGGGCGCUGUCUCAGCUGUAGACUCGGUGAAGUCUUAGUACCUGUGAAGAUGCAGGUUACCCGCGACUAGACGGAAAGACCCCAUGGAGCUUCACUGCAGGUUGAUAUUGGGAUUUGAUGCAGCAUGUACAGGAUAGGUAGGAGGCAAAGAGAUGGAUACGCCAGUAUUCAAGGAGCCGCUGUUGGGAUACUACCCCUGUUGUAUUGGAUUUCUAACCGGACGACGUAGAGCCGUUGACGGGACAGUGUCAGUCGGGCAGUUUGACUGGGGCGGUCGCCUCCCAAAGAGUAACGGAGGCGCCCAAAGAUACCCUCAGCUUGGAUGGAAACCAAGCGCAGAGUGCAAAGGCAAAAGGGUGUUUGACUGCGAGACCUACAAGUCGAGCAGGGACGAAAGUCGGGCUUAGUGAUCCGGCGGUGCUGAAUGGAAAGGCCGUCGCUCAACGGAUAAAAGCUACCCUGGGGAUAACAGGCUGAUCUCCCCCAAGAGUUCACAUCGACGGGGAGGUUUGGCACCUCGAUGUCGGCUCAUCGCAUCCUGGAGCUGAAGUCGGUUCCAAGGGUUGGGCUGUUCGCCCAUUAAAGCGGUACGCGAGCUGGGUUCAGAACGUCGUGAGACAGUUCGGUCCCUAUCUGUCGUGGGCGCAGGAAAUUUGAGAAGAGCUGUCCUCAGUACGAGAGGACCGGGAUGGACGCAUCAAUGGUGGACCAGUUGUCACGCCAGUGGCAUAGCUGGGUAGCUAAAUGCGGAAGGGAUAAACGCUGAAGGCAUCUAAGUGUGAAACCCACUUCAAGAUGAGAUUUCCCAUUGCGCAAGCAAGUAAGACCCCUUAAAGACGAUAAGGUAGAUAGGUCAGGAGUGUAAGCAUGGUGACAUGUUAAGCGGACUGAUACUAAUAGGUCGAGGGCUUGACCGA